CUAAUUCUUUGAGUUCUGGUUGUG
rnacentral:snRNA from 1 species